GCUGCUGCGCUGCGCUGCGUGUUAGACUUGGAUAUUCGUCGUCCGACUCCGAGUCCGAGGUCUAGAAUUUCAUCAAUUAGCUUCUGAAGCACAAGGAUUUUUCCGUGAAAAAUAAGAUUAUGGGUAGGAGCAGAAGUAGGUCUCGAUCACCGAGAAGGAGAGAGAGGAGACGUUCAAGGUCAUUUUCACCUAGAGAUAGAGAUCGAGGAGACAGAGAUAGAGACAGAGAUGUUGAUAGGCGCAGGAGAUUUACAGAGAGACGUCGCUCAAGGUCAAGAUCACCUGCAAGGAGGUUUAGGAGAUCAAGGUCAAAAUCAAGGUCGCCUAGGAGGAGAAGAUCCCGGACUCCAUCACCGAGGAGGAGAAGAAGGAGCGAAACACCGGAGAGACCUGGGCCUAGCAGAGGACGGAGUUAUGAAGAGGAAAAGCCAGAAAUUGAUGAGAAAAAGUUGGAGGACAUGACAGAGGAUGAGAUUGAGAUGAUGAAGGUCAUGGGUUUUGCAGCAUUUGAUACCACCAAGGGUAAACGUUUGUUUAUGUUCACAGGGUAAACAUGUAGAUGGUGCAAGUAACGCAUUUGCUGCUAACAUACAAACAAAGAGGAAGUACAGGCAGUACAUGAACAGGAGAGGAGGCUUCAAUCGCCCUCUUGAUUUCAUCGCUUAGAUCCUCAUGAAUUCGUUUUUUAUGUUGGAGCAAGUAAAACUUUGUCACAUCUUUUAACACCAAGAGAACAUUGUCCUCUAUGCACAAACUGGGAGGUGUUGGUAACUUUAGGUUACAUUUUGGAAGCUGUCGCUUUCGUUUGGAUAACAUCCAUCUCCGGUUUGGUAGAGAGUUGUCACCUAUAUGGAGCAGUGUCCCUGUUUUAGGGGAGUUUUGGAAUUGUGGAUUUGUGCAUCACAAAAGACUGAAUAAAAAUGAAAACAUGGAUUUGCUUUCUGAUGAGAUGACAUCCAUCUUGGGAGGUUUUUUAAUUGCCAAUGUACAUGUAUAAGAGUAAUAUUACUCCAAGGGUAACAUAACCCUGUAUCUUCCCGCGAGUGUAAAGUUUAGGAGGAUGGAAUCAUGUGACUGCCUUAUAGUCUUACCUAACAUGUAUUAAUGACUUUAUUAUGUUCUGGGAUUAGAGAACUUUUUAAGCAAAAAAGUGAGUUUUUCCUCAGCAAUGAAGGAACAAGGUCUUGUGAUUCAGCAGCAAUUCUCGCUACCCCAAAUAGCGAUUUCGCCGAGAUCCGGGAAAAUCCCUGUAACGUGCAUUGCAUUAUGGGAUAGCUUUUUCGGUAUUACAACUUCCUGUUCGGAAGUCCAAUGCACUGUUUUGCCAUUCAGAUCAACAGUGCCGUCAUGCACAACAACACAACGUCGCUUUCGCUCGGAAAGUUCGUGAUCACAACCCUCUCUUUCACGAUACAGUUUAACAGUUUUACAGCCUUUUCUGCUAAAGUCACUAAUUCUGCCCGACGCUUUCCAUUGCACGGUAUUCAUCUGUCAGUUAAGAUUUUUUAAAGUUCCGAAACUGAUUUUUAUCCAUUUUGUGGUCGACGAAAAAUUGAACGAAAUGAAUGCUGUAUAUAUUUAGCGUCUAGUUGAAUACGAUCGUGAUGUCAGGCCGGUCGCUAAAUGCAAAAUUUUAAGAUAUUCAUUAUUUGUUUGAUUUUUUUAUAACCAAAUAAAAACAUUAAUAAAAAUUAUUUUCACGUGAAAUAUAUUUUUUAUUUUUAUUUAUAAUUCAAAUGGAAUCAAAACUGACCAAAUGUAAUAAAAAGUAUUAUACUCUGUACAUAUUACGCUGAUUGGCAUCGAUUUCAGCGUGGUGGAAAACUCAGUAUCGCGAACCUCGCGCGAGCAUGACUCUAAACCGGAAGUGGUGAUGACGACCCGACGGAGUGAAAAUUAUCUCGUCUCGCGCAUUAUGAGAUUUUUGUUCCUAUUUGGGGUAGCGAGAAUUGUUUUGUCACUGUGUUCUGUCUGCAUUAUUGUCUUACAUAAGUGAUGUGUUACACCCAGUCCUUGCAUCUUUUAUUCUUGAUGGAAAAAAUACAGUAUAAAUACUGCAGGGUUGACUUUGAAUUUUCUUAACUGAUCAUGGCUGUAUGCAGUGGGAAAGGGGGGGGGGGGUCAGAACAUACUUGGUUGAAGUGACAUUUACAGCAUUGUGAUAAUCAAUCCUUUCCUAAAUUAUAAUUGAUUUUAUGUAAAUAAUUAAAAUGUGCGUAAUACCUAGUGCGUAAUGAUAUUCAUGUAUAGUGUAAUAUGCUCAAGAACUGAGUAAAUACUGAAUUGAAAGAAAUGUAUUGCGCUACAAAUUAAGAUGUAGAUAUAUAAUCGCAUCAGUGCAUGAGCACCUUAGCACUGACCUAAUAUCCUUUGACAAUGACUCUACCGUAGUUGAAUGUCUUGGGACCACACAAAUAUGUCAACUCCACAAAAUUUGACUUAGAAGAUGUUAUUUUUUCAUAUUCUGGUCCAUGAACAACAAAAUUUGACCAUUCCAUGUUCUUGUAUAAAUUUAUUUCCCACUAGACCAGUUCGUAGUUCCAUUCUGCGCAUGAUCAGAAGAGGGUCAUUUGAAAUCAAAUGGCAUGGUCGUUUGAUAUUCAAUGAGAUAAGCACCAACUUUGAUGUUUUGUUUAUUCAAUGAAUAAACAAAACAUCAUUCUUUUGAAGUGUGCUCUUCAUUAGAUACCCUGAAAGGCAAGAAUGCAUCCAUAAGCAACUUGUAAAGAGUUCAUGCAUUCAAAGGAGAAAUGCAACAGAUACCUUCAUGUAGUGGCGGCACCAGGAUUUUGAAACUGGGAACAAAAGAACAUUUUUGGGGGCAAAGCCGGACACAAUUUUUUUUGCCUGUUUCACAAAUUGAGUGCGAAGCGCAAGCUAAAAUUUUUAAUGUAGGCCCUACUGACUUGAGAAGGGACCUGGUAAGGACUGUUUGCAGUGGGUCAUGAAGAUGAUAUCUCACCAAAUGAAUAAUGUGAGCGAAGCACGAGCUGAAUUUUUUUAACAUCCUGAAAUAACUUGACGUUCUAAGUACUUUGUAAGAACAAAAUCUUACUAAAAGAAUUUAUUUAAGCAUGUAGCUUGAGCUGAACAUGCAGGAUGCGUAUCUUGCUAAAAUAAUGAAAGCUCUAAUCACGAGAAGCAUAUUGAGGGCGGGCAAUGAUCGUGACUGGGAAGUAAAUGCCCCCAUCCCCCCCCCCCCCUGCCCUUGGUGCUGCCUUAAAAGUGUUCAUUGAUGUGCUAUUUUACUCACCAGGGCCCUGUCUUACAAAAAGUUGUGAUUGAUCCAAUCAAUCGUAACUAUGGAAAUCCGUCAGUGUCAUAAUUUUUGCAAAGGAAAUUUGAAAAAAUGUCCUUUGUAAACAAAGAAGAACACACCACAUUGUCAAGAAAACAAUGAAUGCAUGAAUAUACAUUCAUAUCUAGAAAUCUUUUUGAAAUAAACAUGCAUUUUAUAUGUUGACUUCGCUGGCUUUCCAUAGUUGCGAUUGAUCGGAUCAAUCGCAACUCUUUGUAAGACGGGGCCCUGGUCUAUGCAAUCUUUGCAUCCUUAUACAGUAUGUCAGGCAUGCUUACCUAAUACCUUGUUUGAAAUUUGCCUAUCCUAAUGAAAGGAAAGGUCAUUUGAACUUUACUUGCCCAUGAGGUAUUUUUGAACUGUUCUAUUUUAUCUUGAUAAUUUUGACAACACACCCCUAUGGUAAACAGUCUGGUUUAUGCCCUAUUUUUAGUGAAAUUGUCAUUUUCAGACAUAAAAUUAGGGGCUCUGGUUAUUUGACAAAAAUAUCCUUGUUUAGAUAAUCUAAUAUCAAUCAACCUAUGCAAUCAAAGGUUGUGCCCUUUGAUUGCAUAUCAGUCAUAAUGAAGCAAUGAUUUGAAUAAAUUUAAGAACACCCCAGUGAUAUAUCUGCCUCCAAGUAAAAAUAUGAUUUAUUUUAAGUUUGAAGUUCGAGUAUAAAGGACAUAGUUUGGGUUUUUUAAUGAAAACUACCAGUAUUUUAAACAAGUGUUCUGAAACUUACAUUCAUCUAUUUUUCUUUGAUAUUUCUUUUAACAGCUCUGCAUGACUCAUCACACUUUUGUUUUUGAAUUAGGGCAUUUCCAUGAAAUAAUCAACCUUAUUGUACGUCUGACCCCCAUUUUUCUCAAAUAUUGCUUCACUCCAUACACUGACCAAGUCAUGGUCCCUUUAGAACACUACAGGCUGUCAAAAGAACUAGAAAAGAGAGACAGAAAAUUUCAUGAAGGUCCCACGUAAAGGGGGUCGGAUGCACAUAUAUCAUGGAAUUGCCCAUUAUCAUAUUCACUCUUGAACAAUGAUGGUCCUUUUCAUUUUUUCACCUUAUUGUGUGUAUAUAUAUAUUUUUUUUACUUUUGGAUUUUUUCUUUUUUUAAAGUCAUUAGUAUUAACUACUUAAGAAGGUGAACUACGAAAAUAAGUUAGAAAUGAAAUUCCAUACACACUUGUAGGAACAACAUGAUUAAAUGUUCUUGUCUAGUA